UACGUAGGUGGCAAGCGUUAUCCGGAUUUACUGGGCGUAAAGCGCACGCAGGUGGCUGCUUAAGUCUGACGUGAAAGCUCCUGGCUUAACUGGGAGAGGUCGUUGGAAACUGGGUAGCUUGAGGCGAUGAGAGGGGUGUAGAAUUCCUGGUGUAGUGGUGGAAUGCGUAGAUAUCAGGAGGAAUACCAGUGGCGAAAGCGGCACCCUGGCAUUGGCCUGACGCUCAUGUGCGAAAGCGUGGGGAGCAAACGGG
rnacentral:misc_RNA from 1 species